GCGGGAAAACUGAGGCUACGGAGGGGACGCUCUUGCCCAAGUUCCACGGCGAGGUGGGCCGAGAAAGGGGCGGGACCCCGGCCCCGAGACUCCCAGGCGCCUUUCCAGAAAGCCCGGCGUACUCUGCGUGUCGCGGGCCACUUUGGGUCUAAUUGUCGCGCGUGGGUGAGUGUCGCCGCGGUGUGCGCCUCGAGCCGGGCAGCGACCGCGCCGGCGUAUCUGUGCCUCGGCGCGUCUGCGAACGGCACGUGUCUUUACAGCCGCGCGUGUGCCCGCAAGUGGAUGUGCGCGCCGUGCCGCCCGGGAAGCGGGAGGUCCUGCGGGCGUGCGCCGGACCUGUUGUCAGCAGGCCUGGCAGAUGGGAACUCAGCUCCGGAAUUAAUUGCUUGUUUGUCUCCGGCUGGGAGUCCGCGCCCCCCCCCCCCCGCCCUUCCCCGGCGACCAGUUGCUCUGUGCCUAGCCGGGCCCCAAAUGUCGCCGGCAUCCGCGGCCGCAGGCAGCUCCGGGGCCAGGCUCCGGGUCAGCCCCAAAGCCUGGGUCAAGCCAGGCGGGCGCGGCGGGCGGGCUCCCCGUGACGCGAGCGCCCCCUGCCGGCCGCUGCGCACACGGCUCCGAGACUGGGGAGACCCAGCGCCCCGCGUCCCAGGCCUGAGGCGCACUCGGAAACUCCGAAUGUCGUGAUCCCGGCAGAGACCAGGACACGCGGCUGCCGGCGCAUACACCUGGAGAAAGAAAACGGGCGUCAGCCCACAUCCGGAUCUGGGUACCCAGGACAACACCCAAACCCCACCCGCACUGCCGGCAGACAGCACCGCCUCCCGCCGCUCCACUGCUCCGGGACAUACACUCUCUAUAUCCCGUCCCCCCACCCACACACGCAACCCAGAAGCACGCAGCGGUCGGGAGCCCAGCUCCUGCGCCCCUGGCCAGCCACACCCGCAACUUCAGCGCUUCUACCGCCGCGGCGCUUUGGGAAGCACAAGCUCACAUCCCAUAUCCGCAGAACACGGGGUGCACGAGGGGGCUGGAGUCACCCCGGGGGCUCACGAUCAGUCAGGGUCCACGACCCCCUACUUCGCCCAUCCUAGCAAGGCGCAAGAAUCACCAUAAACGCUGGAUUUGCUGACCACAUGGCCGAUCGUGACCACCUGCUCUGUACUCACCCAGGCUUCUGGUCAGGAGAGAGGCGGGGAAGAGCUGCCCCCUCCCUGUGUCCACCAUCACUCCUGGCCUGGGAUCAGGGCAAGUUAUAAAGGGGGCCAGAGUCCCCCCUUUCUCUCUGUCCCUCUCCAGGAGGACACUCUGGGGACCACCCACCCUCCUCCCGCACAGGAAGGGGACUGGGGAACACUGUCCUCUUCCCCCAUCCUGUCUCAUCCAAGACCCUGAGCCUGGGGCGGGGGCGGGGGCUCCUCCCUUCAGCGGACCAAGGGCUUCUGGGAGGCCACCCGCCAUGUCAGUGGAUUGAUUAAAGUCAUUGUGGGGA